UUAGGUCGCGACUACCAUGCAAGUCGAGCGGAUGACGGGAGCUUGCUCCUUGAUUCAGCGGCGGACGGGUGAGUAAUGCCUAGGAAUCUGCCUGGUAGUGGGGGACAACGUUUCGAAAGGAACGCUAAUACCGCAUACGUCCUACGGGAGAAAGCAGGGGACCUUCGGGCCUUGCGCUAUCAGAUGAGCCUAGGUCGGAUUAGCUAGUUGGUGGGGUAAUGGCUCACCAAGGCGACGAUCCGUAACUGGUCUGAGAGGAUGAUCAGUCACACUGGAACUGAGACACGGCCCAGACUCCUACGGGAGGCAGCCCUGGGGAAUAUUGGACAAUGGGCGAAAGCCUGAUCCAGCCAUGCCGCGUGUGUGAAGAAGGUCUUCGGAUUGUAAAGCACUUUAAGUUGGGAGGAAGGGCAGUAAGCUAAUACCUUGCUGUUUUGACGUUACCGACAGAAUAAGCACCGGCUAACUCUGUGCCAGCAGCCGCCGUAAUACAGAGGGUGCAAGCGUUAAUCGGAAUUACUGGGCGUAAAGCGCGCGUACGUGGUUCGUUAAGUCGGAUGUGAAAGCCCCGGGCUCAACCUGGGAACUGCAUCCCAAACUGGCGAGCUAGAGUACGGUAGAGGGUGGUGGAAUUUCCUGUGUAGCGGCGAAAUGCGUAGAUAUAGGAAGGAACACCAGUGGCGAAGGCGACCACCUGGACUGAUACUGACACUGAGGUGCCGCAAGCGUGGGGAGCCAACCGGAUUAGAUCCCCUGGUUGUCCCCCCCCCCUAAACCAUGCUCACUAUCCCGUGGCAAUCCUUGAGACUUCUAGCGGGCGCCCCUAACCCACUUACAUU
rnacentral:rRNA from 1 species